CUGUGGCUGAGACCCGGCUCUGGCUUCUGCCACUGGGGCACAGACUGGGAGGGCAGCCCUGGCACCACCGUGUCAUUUAUCCCACAGAAUGACUGAAUCCUUUUUGGAGCCAAGUAAGGACCAGCUCUCCCCCUGAGACCACAAGCAACAUAAAUUCACAGUUGGCCUUUUUCUCUGCUCUGCCUUACUGAAUGACAGCUACAGUUCUCAGUGCCUCUUCUGUACCCUGAAAUGUAUUUAUACCUCUCUUUUGAAAAAUGAGAAGAGAAUACUCUGUGCCCCACAUAAGACUGAAGUUCAACAUAACUGAGGAAGAACUGAAGAAUAUUAAACCUGAAAAGUCAAAUUUCUGUCCAACCUUACAGCUACUUUUGAACAUCUAAGGGAAACCACCUAUGAGCACCUCCACAAAGCAGGGACCUGCAAAACUAAGCAUUAGUCAAAUCAGUAGUAGAGACUUAGUGCAGAUCCUUCUGCGUGGUUCUGGGAAUCAGUCAGAAAUUAACGGAAUUCAAGCAUUCCUCAGUCUGAGGAAUUUGUUUGCUUCUGAAACACUUCCCGUCGUGCCCCAGUCCCUUCUGGGCCCAGCCUACCUGGGCUUCAAACCUGGCUUCUGUCUGCUGGUGCCUCGCACAGCACGCACAGAAAAACCCGGAUGGGCAGGAAUUACAACAGUCAGGCACAGACUCACCACAGAAUCCCAGCAGAAUGAGAAAACACUCUUCUGCCCAUACCCAAGAUACCGCAGAACUCCAGAAUCAGGACUCUGAGGGAAAAAUGCAGGUGUAACAAGAACUUGAGUGCAGAACCCUUGGUUGGCUUUUUUCAAAACCUUGCUAAGAGAUGUGGCCUAUUUAUUAGUUGUGAAAUACAAACCACGUUAUCAACCAUCUUAAGGAAAUGGAUUGAUGUUAAGUGAUACUUGAGAAUCCGCCCCGUAGCAAAGCUCCCACACCAGCACAGACAGAUAAGCAGAAAAUCCUUCCUGCAAACACCGUGGCUGUCCUGAUACAACAUAAACCUGGAGGUCUGAAACCACUGACAUGACUUAUGGGCCUGGAACACUUUGCUACACGUGGAACUGAUGAGAAAAGAACAAUUCCUAAUUCAGAGCUUUCAGGAUGCUGACAAUCCUCGGGUCAGCCAGCCCUGUGUGCCACGGAGCCAGUCCUCCUGCACAUCUCUCCUGGUGCCUCCUGCAGUUCCACAGGGACCUGGGGGUACAGCUCAGAACUAAAGAUUUAGAAGUUUCUCAGCACCUCUACUUCCACUUCCAGAUAAAUCCUAUAAUUAACACAGCAACAGGCUCCAAGAUCACCUGUGAAAUCUUAACAGCCAGGAUUCAAAAAGUCCUUUGGAUCCAUGGACAUGCAAGCUGAAAAAGAAAGCCCAAAGCAGCUCCUCUGCAUGAAAAAAAAUAUUCAGAGACACAGUAAACAAAAAGAGCAGUAUGGCCAUGGAUGCACAAUGAUGCAUGGAAACAAAGGAAAGGUGAGGAGACGGCAAACAUCACCCUGGAAAGCAGGAGUGGAAAAGUCUCUCCUAUCUCUACAAGCAGCUGGGGAUGAUUCGCAGUAGAUUUUUCUGUAAUAAAAUUCCCUCACGUUUCCUUACUUGGAAAACUCAGUUUAUAGGUCAGUUAACAAGUAUUAAAACCACAAGAGAACAUGAAACGCACCACCUUUUCCUUUUGAUCCUUUUCCCUUUUGGAUGGAAGUUUUGAAGUUGGGAAUAUAAAAUCCCUGAAUUUUUGUUAUGUUUUAUGCCUCCACGAAGGCAUUAAAACGGCAGUUUGUGGGCUGAAGAAAUAUCCCCUAAGUGGCAGGGAAUUAAAGCAAGCUGUCCCGAGCACAGCCCUGCUCGCCAGGUGUGCUGCUGCCCAAAUGGAACACCUCAUUUACAAAACAAAUCUGCCGCCAAAAUUACCUGCCCCUCUUGAUUGCUGCAAAUGGUUUUCAUCUAGCUGCACUGCUCUCCCCCGAUUUACAGCCCCGGCUCCGGGAGCCGUGACAGGCGAAGAGGAGCAGCAGCGUCGUUUCCCAGCCCUCGCAACGCCCGGGCUCCGGCCCUGGGUGUCCCCGCGUUAGGGCCGCGUCCCGCUGGGCACGGACAGAACCCACCCCCGGCACGGAUCUGCCUUGCCUUAAAGGUUCUAAAGGCCCCGUGCUCUCGCAGGAUGCUUCAGUUUUGAAAUCUAUCAAAGGAAUCUCAAAACAAAUUACAUGGUAAAUUAUUAUCUGUGUUCUGGCCUCCUCUCUACACCCCACUGUUCGGCAUGAAUGGCGAUGGGAGAGCCCUUGUGAAAGGCAGCCAGAUAAGCAGAUUACAGGAUGUCAGGUGCCUCGGGCUGCUCGGGCUUUCACAGCCCAACUUCGCGGCACGGUCCGUUCAUCUCCCCAACGUGGGUCACAGGCUAUUUCAAUUAAUGCACCUCUAAUGACCAACAUUUGUUCCUUAAUGGGAAAGGAAUAAAUGUGGAAUACACAAAACAGCCACAGAGAGCAAAACAUUCUCCGCUCGCUCUCCCCAGCCUCGCCGUGUUUGGCUUCUCCAACCAACUCGCAGAGAGGGGAAACGGGCUUGUGAGGAAUAGAGAAUUUCUAUCAGAAAGAAACCUUUUAUGUAGCUUUCCUAUCAUUACCCACGCAUUUCUGGCAGCUCUCAGUGUCCUCUAGAUCCCAGCGCGCUGCCUAACAAGACCUGCUAUGAAAACAGAAUGCAGAAAACAAAUUAGCAUUUUGGAAAUAAAAAGCCUGGCUUUUAAUCCUAU